GCUCAGGAUGAACGCUGGCGGCGUGCUUAACACAUGCAAGUCGAACGAAGCAUUUGCGACAGAUUUCUUCGGAUUGAAGUUGCUUAUGACUGAGUGGCGGACGGGUGAGUAACGCGUGGGUAACCUGCCUCACACAGGGGGAUAGCAGUUGGAAACGGCUGAUAAUACCGCAUAAGCGCACAGUACCGCAUGGUACAGUGUGAAAAACUCCGGUGGUGUGAGAUGGACCCGCGUCUGAUUAGCUAGUUGGCAGGGUAACGGCCUACCAAGGCAACGAUCAGUAGCCGACCUGAGAGGGUGACCGGCCACAUUGGGACUGAGACACGGCCCAGACUCCUACGGGAGGCAGCAGUGGGGAAUAUUGCACAAUGGAGGAAACUCUGAUGCAGCGACGCCGCGUGAGUGAAGAAGUAUUUCGGUAUGUAAAGCUCUAUCAGCAGGGAAGAUAAUGACGGUACCUGACUAAGAAGCUCCGGCUAAAUACGUGCCAGCAGCCGCGGUAAUACGUAUGGAGCAAGCGUUAUCCGGAUUUACUGGGUGUAAAGGGAGUGUAGGUGGCCAGGCAAGUCAGAAGUGAAAGCCCGGGGCUCAACCCCGGGACUGCUUUUGAAACUGCAGGGCUGGAGUGCAGGAGGGGCAAGUGGAAUUCCUAGUGUAGCGGUGAAAUGCGUAGAUAUUAGGAGGAACACCAGUGGCGAAGGCGGCUUGCUGGACUGUAACUGACACUGAGGCUCGAAAGCGUGGGGAGCAAACAGGAUUAGAUACCCUGGUAGUCCACGC
rnacentral:rRNA from 1 species